CCCUUAGAUGUUCUGGGCCGCACGCGCGCUACACUGAUGCAUUCAACGAGUCUAAAACCUGCUCUGAUAGGGGUGGGUAAUCUUUUGAAUGUGCAUCGUGAUUGGGAUAGAUGAUUGCAAUUUUUCAUCUUCAACGAGGAAUGCCUAGUAAACGCAAGUCAUCAGCUUGCAUUGAUUACGUCCCUACCCUUUGUACACACCGCCCGUCGCUCCUACCGAUUGAAUGAUCCGAUGAAUAUCAUGGAUUGAGGAUGCAAGCAGGUUCGCCUGUCUUCAUCUUCGAGAAGUGAAGUAAAUCUUAUCAUUUAGAGGAAGGAGAAGUCGUAACA
rnacentral:rRNA from 1 species